GGCCUCGUAGCUCAACUGGUAGAGCAUACGCCUGCAAAUCGUAGGCGGUGUCCAUGCGUGGGUUCGAAUCCCACCGAGGCUA
rfam:Echinostoma caproni strain Egypt genome assembly, scaffold: ECPE_scaffold0010403